GGAAAUGGUGGAUUCAGGGCUUACCCCGGAUGCGAAGACGUUAACGGCAUUGAUCAAGAUUUAUGGGAAGGCAAGGUGGGCUAGAGAUGCUUUGGAUCUUUGGGAAAGAAUGAAGUCUAACGGAUGGCCUAUGGACUUCAUUUUGUACAAUACAUUGUUGAGUAUGUGUGCAGAUCUUGGGUUAGAGGAAGAGGCCGAGACGUUGUUUCAUGAUAUGAGGAGGUCGGAGAAUUGUAGACUUGAUAGUUGGAGCUAUACAGCUAUGCUUAACAUAUAUGGAAGCGUUGGAAAUGCAGAGAAAGCUAUGGCUUUGUUUGAGGAAAUGUCUAAAGUAGGGAUCGAGCUUAACGUUAUGGGAUGCACUUGUUUGGUUCAGUGCUUUGGUAGAGCACAGAGGAUAGAUGAUUUGGUUAAGGUGUUUGAAGUCUCAGUGCAGAGAGGAGUCAAGCCAGAUGACAGACUUUGUGGAUGCUUACUCUCAGUUGUGUCCUACUGCAAGGGCGACGAUGCAGAUAAGGUCCUUGCUUGUCUACAACAAGCUAACCCACGAUUGGUAACCUUUGUCAAGAUGCUAGAAGAUGAG
rnacentral:misc_RNA from 1 species